UACGAAGGGUGCGAGCGUUAUUCGGAAUGAUUGGGCGUAAAGGGUGCGCAGGCGGUAUGUUAAGUCAAUUGUUAAAUUCUUCGGCCUAACCGGAGGUAUGCAAUAGAUACUGAUGUACUAGAGGGUGGAAGAGAGAAGCGGAAUUCUCGGAGUAGCGGUAAAAUGCGUAGAUCUCGAGAGGAACACCGAUGGCGAAGGCAGCUUCUUGGUCCAUUUCUGACGCUCAUGCACGAAAGCGUGGGGAGCAAACAGG
rnacentral:rRNA from 1 species